UACAGAGGUCCCAAGCGUUGUUCGGAUUCAUUGGGCGUAAAGGGUGCGUAGGCGGCGCGGUAAGUCGGGUGUGAAAUCUCGGAGCUUAACUCCGAAACUGCAUUUGAUACUGCGGUGCUUGAGGACUGGAGAGGAGACUGGAAUUCACGGUGUAGCAGUGAAAUGCGUAGAUAUCGUGAGGAAGACCAGUGGCGAAGGCGGGUCUCUGGACAGUUCCUGACACUGAGGCACGAAGGCCAGGGGAGCAAACGGG
rnacentral:rRNA from 1 species